AGGCAGCAGUGGGGAAUCUUGCUCAAUGGGCGAAAGCCUGAAGCAGCAACGCCGCGUGCGGGAUGAAGGCCCUCGGGUUGUAAACCGCUUUCAGCAGGAACGAAUCUGACGGUACCUGCAGAAGAAGGUCCGGCCAACUACGUGCCAGCAGCCGCGGUAACACGUAGGGACCAAGCGUUGUCCGGAUUUAUUGGGCGUAAAGAGCUCGUAGGCGGUUCAGUCAGUCGGGUGUGAAAACUUCGGGCUUAACUCGAAGCAUGCAUCCGAUACUGCUGUGACUUGAGUCCGGUAGGGGAGUGGGGAAUUCCUGGUGUAGCGGUGAAAUGCGCAGAUAUCAGGAGGAACACCGGUGGCGAAGGCGCCACUCUGGGCCGGUACUGACGCUGAGGAGCGAAAGCGUGGGUAGCAAACCAGGAUUAGAUACCCUGGUAG
rnacentral:rRNA from 1 species